rnacentral:antisense_RNA from 1 species
CUUGAGGGACCCCACCAGCAGCGGCUCGCCGUCGACGCGGCCCUGCCCGUAGGCGGCGAUCAGCGCCUGUGCCUC